UACGUAGGGAGCAAGCGUUGUUCGGAUUUACUGGGCGUAAAGCGUGCGCAGGCGGUUGUGCAAGACAGAUGUGAAAUCCCCGGGCUUAACCUGGGAACUGCAUUUGUGACUGUACGGCUAGAGUGCGGCAGAGGGGGAUGGAAUUCCGCGUGUAGCAGUGAAAUGCGUAGAUAUGCGGAGGAACACCGAUGGCGAAGGCAAUCCCCUGGGCCUGUACUGACGCUCAUGCACGAAAGCGUGGGGAGCAAACAGG
rnacentral:rRNA from 1 species